UGGUGGAGUGAUUUGUCUGCUUAAUUGCGAUAACGAACGAGACCUUAACCUGCUAAAUAGCCAGGCUAUCUUUGGCUGGUCGCCGGCUUCUUAGAGGGACUAUCGGCUCAAGCCGAUGGAAGUUUGAGGCAAUAACA
rnacentral:rRNA from 1 species